GUGACUGCCAAGAUGUACAUGGAGCACAGAAAGAUCGCCAUCCAGAAAUGUGCAGUCUCCAGCCCUGGGAUGCUGGCCAAGAUGAACGAGGGGGAUCCUUCCACCAGCAAGCCCCAGUAAUUGCAUUUAACAAGAGGUACUGUUAUGUGUACAGCAGAAUAGAAAAAGACACUAAUCCUGGGUUAGUCUGAAGUGUGAAGUGCUUAGCAGCAGGCAGAAACAGGCCAGUUCUGGUUUCAGUCCCCUUGGAGGAUUCAGCCAUCUCAGCACAAUCCAGGUUCCUACACUGCACAUGACAAUGCACCCUAACAGAGAUGCUGGAGAGGCUGACAGGGUCCUCGAGCCCUCUCUGUGGCUUCUGUGGCAGAAUAACUGGCUGGGUGGAUGGGGGAAAACAGUCAAUCUGCAAAAGAAGAGCUAAUUAAAGGAAAUACUUGUGGGUUCCGUCCUAAUGCACCUUCCAUAAGAUACAAAACAAGCAGGUCAAAGAGUACAUGAAUUAUGAGCAAGAGGGCUUACUAUAAUACACUUCAUUUUUGAAUAAACACACAUAACUUCCAUGAAGUAUUUAUUACGUUCCUAAUAUGAUUUUACUCCAUUAGACUCUCAGCCUGCUUGAAAGUCUAAUGUGGCAAUAAAUCCCAAAGCUUAACAAGGAUAAACAUCUUCCUGCUCCAGGGCCAAAGCAACACCUAACUGAUGAGAACUGAGGAAGACACAAAGUCAUUUAAUUUCCUCCAAGCAGGACCACUUUAUCUUCAUUGCAAAGUUACACAUUAGUAUCAGGAAUCAUCUUGACAAGCACAUAGCCCCACUGUGUCAGUUGCUGAAGGGACAAGUCACAGCCUUUCUUCACCGGCGCAUGGGAUGGCACAGACGUGGAUGGGCAGCCAACGCUUUCCCUAACACAUUGGCAGUGGUCAACGUUGGCAAAAGGAAACUGUCCAGAGGCACCUCUGGUCCUACAAGGUGCCUUAGAGCUCCCCAAAGGUAAAAGCUGUUCCUUUCUACCAAUCCAACAGCAUCUGAGCAGUGAGAAUUAAUCUGCAGACUCCUGCAAUUCAGUCUCGUCUGGAGGCUGGGUUAAAAAAACCUAAAAACCUGAGUGCAUGCAUGCCUGUUUGUCUAACUGUCUCACUUAAAGCAGCAUCUGGCAGAUAUCCAGAACUCUCAAGGAUAUUAAGAUUCAAGAGGUUUCCAGGAAUAUGGAGGUGGAUAAAGAAGGGAGACUGUUAGAGCACGGAGGGAAAGAAAGGACUGGCGAGAAGAUGUUCCUACAAGAAAACCUUCAUGCAAUCCUGAUUUUGUUAGACACUGGCAACUUCUACCAUGCAAUAUGAAGUUAUUUAGAAAUGGGCUUUACUAGCUCUGCUCCUCUCUGAGCUACUCGGAUUUGUGAUGUGCCCCUACACUUUAAAGAUACAGAUCCCACUCCAAGCCAUUUUUUCCUCUCCAUAUUUUAUGUGUGUGUCUAUAAGUAAUAUAUAUAAAUAUAUAUAUGAAAUAUAUGAACAACUAUGCAUCCUUAUUUAUGUUUAUGUAUGUUUAUAUGUGUAUAUAUAACAUGUAGCACACAUAUAGGUUACACCUCCUAGUUGAAUAUCAUGGGACAGUAAUUACACCUCUCAUGCUGCAGCCAAGCCCUGAUGAGGAAACAAACCUCCAGCUGGUGGAGGAUACAAAUUUAAAAAUUAAUGGCAGCACCUGGGGAGUAUUUGAUGCUAGCCUAGAAAGGCAUUCUACCACAGAGAGAAAGCUGUCUGACUAUUCAGUGCCCAAGGCAUUUCUGCUCCCCAGGAGCUACUCCAGACUGCCUGAGGAAAGGGGUCAGGCAUGAAUGCAGAUGCCUCAUGGAGGACACAGUGCUGUCUCUCCUUCUCCAACCCUCAAAAGCCACCUUGUGAUUUCUUGUCUGUCUCUGACUGAUUUUCACCAGUAACUUAAGCAAAGUACUGGUGCUUUAAGAGUUCUUCUCAGCAUACGCAAGAGCAGGGGUUUGGAAGAGCGGGCUGGGGAAGUAUGAGCCUAAGAAAUUUGGUUUUUUCCCCAAGAAGAGACUUUGGUAUUUUCACAACUGGAUCACUGCCCACUCAAGCACCCAAGUGAGGGCUCAGCUGCUCAGCGAAGGGAGGACUCAGGACACAGCACCCACAGAGCCAAAUUUCUGUUGACUUUACAGACAAGAACAGGAAUGUGCCAUUCCCACCAGCUGAGCCAGGCCACCAGACAGUGGAAGAGCAGACUAAUUCUUGCACAAAGCCCACAGCACAAUGGCAAGCAGCACUGUAAUGGCUAGAUCUUCCCCAGCAGUACUGUGAUGCCAGCACUGCCUGAAAUUACACCUGCCCACUUCCACCAGUACAUUCCACCCAGUGGGUCCUUUGGAGUGGUGUGGACCUCCCAAGUGGCAUUUUGGAGAUGCACCUCCCCACCUUUAUUGAUGUCUAGCCCCAUAAACCACAGCCAGAGCACUAGUAAAAGAGUAGUGCAAUGAUGGAAAGGCUGCUAAUUGCCCAGGGUACUUACCGAGUGUGGCGGUGGGGACCCAGGGGCUUUAUGACCUGCGCAGGCAGCACAACCCUGCUGUGAUGCAGAGGAAGAACCUGCAUCCGUGUCUCAGCACCAGAAGGGCAGCGCUUAUAAUGUGCCCCGAGGACUGACCCUGUCCAAUCAACCAGGAGCGGUGCGGAGCCCAGGCUCCCCUGCGUAAACAGUGUGAGGCGUACCAGUGAAAAUAGUGUGUGAAGUAAAUGAUCUUUUCCAUUUAUGAUGUUCUCCCAGCAGGCAUGAUUUUC